rnacentral:rRNA from 1 species
GACGAACGCUGGCGGCGUGCUUAACACAUGCAAGUCGAACGGAAAGGCCCUGCUUUUGUGGGGUGCUCGAGUGGCGAACGGGUGAGUAACACGUGAGUAACCUGCCCUUGACUUUGGGAUAACUUCAGGAAACUGGGGCUAAUACCGGAUAGGAGCUCCUGCUGCAUGGUGGGGGUUGGAAAGUUUCGGCGGUUGGGGAUGGACUCGCGGCUUAUCAGCUUGUUGGUGGGGUAGUGGCUUACCAAGGGUUUGACGGGUAGCCGGCCUGAGAGGGUGACCGGCGAAAUGGGGACUGAGAUACGGAGCAGACUGCAAAGGGAGGCAGCAGGGGGGAAUAUUGCACAAUGGGAGGAAGCCUGAUGCAGCAACGCCGCGUGCGGGAUGACGGCCUUCGGGUUGUAAACAGAUUUCGCCUGUGACGAAGAGUGAGUGACGGUAAUGGGUAAAGAAGCACCGGCUAACUACGUG